rnacentral:lncRNA from 1 species
UGCCGCCCUCUGCCGCUCGCCCCAGGCCAGCUGCAUUUCAGCACAGGGGAGGCGAUGGAGGCCGGCAGGCGGGAGGGCCCUCUGGAGCCUGGACUGAGCUCGAUCGGGUGCGUGGGGCUGGGGUCGCAUCGUGCUCACCCACGCUGCUUUCCUCAGGGCUUGCCAGGAGUGCCAGGACACCCCGGGGCUCAGGGUGAACGUGGUGAGAGAGGAGAAGUGGGAGACAAGGGUGCCCGAGGACUGCCUGGGCGCAGGGGCAUCCCUGGGAGCAGAGGAGAAACGGGCGUCCACGGCAGCACGGGACCUCCAGGAGAGAUGGGCCUGCAGGGCUUGCCGGGCGUUCCCACCUCCACGGUAAGGGCUGCUGGUGCGGGGCUGGCUGGGGACGGGGACCCGGCCUCACCGCGAGGCUGCAGGGGGCUCUCGGGGGUCAGGGCUUUGCUCGGAAUAGCUGGGACAUAGGAG